UGAGGCUUUAGGCAAGUAAUUUAACCUCACUGUUUCCCAGUUUCCUUAUUUAUAAAAUGGGGUAAUAGUAAUACUUACAACAUAGGUUUGGGCCAGUUUUUAAAUGAGUUAGAACAUGAGACACUUAACACAGUGCCUGACACACAAAUAUAGACUUAGCAAAUAUUAGCUGUUAUUGUUGCUGUAGUUUACUGGCUGAUUUUUCUGUUCCAGGUUUCUCUCUUCCACAAUUUAUGAAGCCCACAUAAACUGGAAUAAUCUUCAAACACUGGCUUCUGUACAGUAUCUUUUUGCCUGAGUCUCCAGAGUGGUGGCCCACUGUUGCCUUCAGCUGCGGCCACUAUCCUGAUGCUCCUCAUGACCAGCCCUCACAUGUGCUUUGUGCUUCAAUGAAGGGGACACUUGUGCAAUCAGAUUCCAGGUGUUUUCCUAUGUACAUGCAGCCUUUGAGAAGUUCAAGCCAUAAGAAUUAAGCUUUGGAUGCAGACCCCAGAAAGAGGUGACAGCCGGUGUAUAGCAGCACUGUUGGAACAGAGAAUAAAGAGGCACAUUGGACACAGCAGCUGCACCUCCCAGACCCUGAAAUUUAAGAUCUUUAUAAAUGAUCUGUUAAAACUAUGGUGACGAUAAGCUUAUGAAUCAUGAUCUAUAUUAAUCAGGGCUGCUGAUAUGGAAAGAUUAAUUGAAACGUGCAGUUCUACACAAAUGAUAAAGUGGUAACAAUUUAAUAUCAGACAAGAAGAGUGAAGAAAUUACACUCCAAGCUUCAUGCAUCAUUACUAUGGAUAUUAAUAUUUUACCCAGCGCAACAGCAUCGGGAAUCAUAAUGAAAAUCCAUAAGUGGUGCACAGACAUGAUUAAAUACAACAGUCUUUAGGAGCUGUUUGGUGGCGGCAGUUGGGCCAUAUUUCACUCGGUGGCUGGUGAUUUCAGUGAUAGAGUCUAGACGAGGGUGAUUAAAAAUUGUUCCUCCUAAAGGCUGUUAACCUUUUACUACUAAAAUGAAUUUCUUUGAUUUUUAAAUUAUGUCGUUCUCUGUGCUCUUUUCAAAACCAAACUUGAUCCCAAACAUUGACAGGAUGCUGGGUUCCUGGUGUACUGACAGUACCCUAUCAUAGAGGUGGCAUUAAUGGAGGGUCAUUGCCUACCUUACGAGAGCUGGCUGGAGUGAGUGGUGAACCAUUAGGGAAUCCUGGGUAGUUCCCAAAGACCAGAGUUGAUAAGGCUAACUUCCUCACCCAACCUUACCAGAGUGGGGAUAGAAAUUACUUAUUCUGAGAUUCUGAUCUCAGUAAGUUAGUUCAUUCACUUACUGAGUCACACAUCUAACCAACAAUGAAACAAAUGUACACCUAUACCUGGGAAAUGCAAAAAUACACCCCAAAGAACACAUUCCAAGCUGAGAAGAG
rnacentral:lncRNA from 1 species